UAGGGAAUCUUCCACAAUGGACGCAAGUCUGAUGGAGCAACGCCGCGUGAGUGAAGAAGGUUUUCGGACCGUAAAGCUCUGUUGUUGGUGAAGAAGGAUAGAGGUAGUAACUGGCCUUUAUUUGACGGUAAUCAACCAGAAAGUCACGGCUAACUACGUGCCAGCAGCCGCGGUAAUACGUAGGUGGCAAGCGUUGUCCGGAUUUAUUGGGCGUAAAGCGAGCGCAGGCGGAAGAAUAAGUCUGAUGUGAAAGCCCUCGGCUUAACCGAGGAAUUGCAUCGGAAACUGUUUUCUUGAGUGCAGAAGAGGAGAGUAGAACUCCAUGUGUAGCGGUGGAAUGCGUAGAUAUAUGGAAGAAUACCAGUGGCGAAGGCGGCUCUCUGGUCUGCAACUGACGCUGAGGCUCGAAAAGCAUGGGUAGCGAACAGGAUUAGAUACCCUGGUAGUCCAUGCCGUAAAACGAUGAGUGCUAAGUGUUGGGAGGCUUCCGCCUCUCAGUGCUGCAGCUAACGCAUUAAGCACUCCGCCUGGGGGAGUACGACCGCAAA
rnacentral:rRNA from 1 species